UGCGGCAACUCAAUUAACACU
rnacentral:siRNA from 1 species